rnacentral:rRNA from 1 species
CCCUUAGAUGUUCUGGGCCGCACGCGCGCUACACUGACGAAUGCAACGAGCUUAUAACCUUGGCCGAAAGGUCUGGGUAAUCUCCAAAUUUCGUCGUGAUGGGGAUAGAUUAUUGCAAUUAUUAAUCUUCAACGAGGAAUGCCUAGUAAGCGCAAGUCAUCAGCUUGCGUUGAUUACGUCCCUGCCCUUUGUACACACCGCCCGUCGCUCCUACCGAUUGAAUGGUCCGGUGAAGCGUUCGGACCGUGGCCUUUGGACGGUUCGCCGUCCGUUGGCUGCGGGAAGUUCGUUAAACCUUAUCAUUUAGAGGAAGGAGAANUCGUANCA